UUUAGGCCCCAUUAAACAAAAAAAAUGACCUCUGCUGCUGUGAGCACCUUUUUCUACAUUUCCUACCUGUAUAUAGCAGACAAGUGCUUAUGUGUUUAAGUUGAUCUUUUUAAAAUGGCUAAGCCCUUGUUUUGACACCAAGAACUGUGCCCCUUUCCUUCACACUGCCCACUUUUAAUUGAUGUUUCACUAAUCCUUGAUUUACUAAACGUGAAGAUGUCAUGGGUAUUUAGUGUUUAGCAAUGUGUUUUUAUUUGUUUGUUUAGCAGCUACAAUCAAGUAUCUGUCAUGAUUAUUUUUUAACACUUAGGGCUGAGAUUUGGUCAUGGAUGGUACAAUGUAUGUAAAAACAAAUCUCAUUAUUUUGGUGUCUUUUUGAUGAAACUGGAAUUAUUGUCUGUUUGAAUAAACAGUUGUGAAGAAGUGGUUCCUUGUAAGAUAAUUAGUCUAUUUUAAAACAUAUUUGUCAGUCUCUUCAUCAUAUUUAUGUUCAUUGUGUCAACAUAAGUAUUAUUAAUUUAUUAGAUUAAUUUCUUAAUAGGCCUAUAAUGAACUAUAAACACAAUAAGUGCCCUAGAUAACACCAUACUGGAGUGGCAUGGCUAAUGGUAGUCAUUUUAAAGAUGCACUAUGGAACUUUUCGAGGAUCUGCUACCUGCCUGUUUCUGUUGAGUCAAUUAAAUGUGUGUUAUUGCUAUAAAUUCUAGGUAAAGCAAAACUAUCUACAUGGAGUCAAGCAGGUAGCGGACUCUUCAUCAGAAAAGUUCCGUAGUACACCUUUAAGUUUGGCAUUUGAAACAAAACUGUCGCCCUUCACCCUGCUCAGACAUUUGCUCGGAGGCACGGCUCUGGAUGUGCUAAACUUAGCGGUGACACUCUUCGACACAGCGACAGUCGACUCUACAGUGAGCUACAAUGGAAGGUGUCGAGUUUCCUCACACGGGACAGUUUCUCCACGGGAAAGCUGCAAAAACAAGAUGUAGUUUUGUUAUAGCAGCGUCUACCCUUCUUGUAGUCUUCUCCUCUGUGUGUCUUUGAUGGGCAACUAUAGCUCAGUCCUCAUUCCGGGUAAGCCUCAUAACUAUAACCUUUUAAGUGAAAAAACGAAACAAAAGAAAAAACAUGAAAACACUGGAGAGCAAAAACUGAACUGUUUAUUUUAUUUUAAAGAUACUGAAGAAUUUGAGUCUAUUGUGGCUCUAGUGACAGAAAAACCAAAUGAGCCCAGCCGUUUACUGUCCGAGCUUCAGACUCUGGGAAGUAUUCCACUCAUAGCUGUAUAUACUGUACAUUUUAUCAUCAUUAAAAUGACUCAACAUGUGUAACAGUGUUUACCUCCACUUAAACAUUGUGUCAUUUUAUUCAUUCAUUCUACAGUAACACGUGGGAGUUUUGUUUUGGCCUGUGUGUCCUUGGGAUGAUUUUAACUUCCUUUGGCUGACUCAGAUGACCACUCAUUGAAACACUAGAUAACUUGGCUCUGACCUUCUACUAAACUUUCAGUAUGAUGAAUUUAAAUUUAAUUCAGUGAUCAGAUAUCUUGAAAUCUUGUCUUACAGGUGAAUAUGGAAUCAGGGAGAGGAAAUGACCAAUGUGUUGAUGAAGAUUCAAGUAAAGAAAAGUCUGACACUUCUAUAUCAGCAACAUCAAAAGGAGAGCCUCCAGCUUCCAGUUUGGGUGAUUCCCUCUCCUCUCUGCUUCCCAAAGCCUUGUCCGCU